rnacentral:lncRNA from 1 species
GGGUGGUCAGAGGCGGUUUGAUGUUUUGGGGAGAAAGAACAGCCGUGAAGGAUUCUGUGAUGCAGGAGAAGGUGGGAGGCCUCAGGACAGAAUCAGCAGGUCACCAUGCUUUCCUGCGUCAUCCACCUGUGGGCCUCUAAUGUGUUUCUAUGAAGUUUGCAUUAAAGUUUCAGCCACUAUUUUUCAGAAACAUGGUCAACCUCUCCUUCCCUCCUCUAUCUGCUGAUAGAGUUCUACAGAAAACAAGGGAAUGACUUGAGGAGGUGAGGGGGAUUCUGAAGGUUGUUGGUGGAUUCCUAGAAUGUAGCCCGCAGAACUGUGCCUGGAACGAUACCGGAUCACUGCAAAAGUACAGCGAACAGGGUCGCUUUGAAUAUUAAAGGAGGACUUUUUCAAAGUGUAUAGAGAGCAGUCAAAAGAUCGCCACAGUUGCUCUGUGUUUUCGUGAGCCAGCUUUCUCGGAAGGUGAGCUGGUUCCGCUCUGCCUGGGUUUACUGUUUCAGAGGAGUGGUUCUCAGCUGCCGGACUGGCAUAGUCCUGUGUUCACACAGUUUCCUAAUCCUGAAACCAGCAAUCACAAAGUCAGUUCCUCAUCAAGAGAUCAAAGUCAUUCAUUUUGGAUACAAUCAUAUUUUCAGGCUAAAGGGAAGGUUGGGAAGGUCAGGCAUUAGAAUGCUGGAGGAGUGUCCUUGGCAGAGAAGGACUAAGCCAGUGGAUCACAAACAUCCUGGAGAGCAGUGACUCUGUGAUUCCAUCACAAGAAUAUGAAGGACUGAGAAGAUCUCCAGCUCUGCCCAUUGCACCUUCCCAUUGAGAAGCAGCAUGGCACCCUGGUGGCAGGGGCUGAUACUCAGCCGGGCCAGGGUGCUCUCCUGUUAACCAUAACCAAGCUCACAGGACAUGGGAUGAGCCCACUGUGUGACACAGGGAGCGGGACACAGUCUGUUAAGUCUUGCACAGCCAUGCUCUGCCACGCAGGCAGGCCUUUCCUUGGCCUCCCUCUCCCUGUUCGUGCUCAUGUGAACAUCCACCUACGUGGAUAGACUGGGCUUUGGUUCAUUAUUGCUCUGUGAAUUCCUCGAACUUCCGCAUCUGCCCAACCUCCCCCACCCCAUUGUUUUCAUUGUGUUUCACCAAAUGGAAAUUCUAGAGUAAGCAUGUGAGUCCUCUCCCAAACUUGUUCACUGUUGAGAGUGCUAAAAUGCUAACCCCAGAUGCUAACUGAGGGGUAGGGUUACCUUAUCUUUAGAGCACUGCGAAUUGUAUGUUAAGUGGAACUUAAUGAAAAAAUAGUUAAUUGACCAACAUGAAUAUCCCCUGAACAGAAUCUCCCCUGAACAGAAUCCUACAAUGAAACUAAGGGAGAUAAAUAAAGCUGUUUACCUGAAA